GGGAAUGUGGCUUAGUGGUAGAGUGCUUGCCUAGCAUGCAUGAAACCCUGGGUUCCAUUCCCU
rnacentral:tRNA from 1 species